UACGUAGGGUGCAAGCGUUGUCCGGAAUUAUUGGGCGUAAAGAGCUCGUAGGCGGUCUGUCGCGUCUGCUGUGAAAACUCGGGGCUUAACCCCGGGCCUGCAGUGGGUACGGGCAGACUAGAGUGCGGUAGGGGAGACUGGAAUUCCUGGUGUAGCGGUGAAAUGCGCAGAUAUCAGGAGGAACACCGGUGGCGAAGGCGGGUCCUCUGG
rnacentral:rRNA from 1 species